GGGCCGGUAGUUUAAUGGCAAAAUGCCUCGUUCGCAACGAGGAUGACGGGGGUUCGAUUCCCUCCCGGUCCA
rnacentral:tRNA from 1 species